UACGAAGGGGGCUAGCGUUGUUCGGAAUUACUGGGCGUAAAGCGCACGUAGGCGGAUACUUAAGUCAGGGGUGAAAUCCCGGGGCUCAACCCCGGAACUGCCUUUGAUACUGGGUAUCUCGAGUCCGGAAGAGGUGAGUGGAAUUCCGGAGUGUAGAGGUGAAAUUCGUAGAUAUUCGGAAGAACACCAGUGGCGAAGGCGGCUCACUGGACCGGCAUUGACGCUGAUGUGCGAAAGCGUGGGGAGCAAACAGG
rnacentral:rRNA from 1 species